UGGGGAAUCUUGGACAAUGGGCGCAAGCCUGAUCCGGCGACGCCGCGUGGGUGAUGAAGGCCUUCGGGUUGUAAAGCCCUUUCGCCGGGGACGAUGAUGACGGUACCCGGAGAAGAAGCACCGGCUAACUCCGUGCCAGCAGCCGCGGUAAGACGGAGGGUGCUAGCGUUGUUCGGAAUCACUGGGCGUAAAGGG
rnacentral:rRNA from 1 species